rnacentral:rRNA from 1 species
AUUGAACGCUGGCGGCAGGCUUAACACAUGCAAGUCGAGCGGGGAUUGGGUGCUUGCACCUAAUCUUAGCGGCGGACGGGUGGGUAAUGCUUAGGAAUCUGCCAUUUAGUGGGGGACAACAUUCCGAAAGGGAUGCUAAUACCGCAUACGCCCUACGGGGGAAAGCAGGGGAUCUUCGGACCUUGCGCUAAAUGAUGAGCCUAAGUCGGAUUAGCUAGUUGGUGGGGUAAAGGCCUACCAAGGCGACGAUCUGUAGCGGGUCUGAGAGGAUGAUCCGCCACACUGGGACUGAGACACGGCCCAGACUCCUACGGGAGGCAGCAGUGGGGAAUAUUGGACAAUGGGCGGAAGCCUGAUCCAGCCAUGCCGCGUGUGUGAAGAAGGCCUUUUGGUUGUAAAGCACUUUAAGCGAGGAGGAGGCUACCUGGAUUAAUACUCUAGGAUAGUGGACGUUACUCGCAGAAUAAGCACCGGCUAACUCUGUGCCAGCAGCCGCGGUAAUACAGAGGGUGCGAGCGUUAAUCGGAUUUACUGGGCGUAAAGCGUGCGUAGGCGGCUGAUUAAGUCGGAUGUGAAAUCCCUGAGCUUAACUUAGGAAUUGCAUUCGAUACUGGUCAGCUAGAGUAUGGGAGAGGAUGGUAGAAUUCCAGGUGUAGCGGUGAAAUGCGUAGAGAUCUGGAGGAAUACCGAUGGCGAAGGCAGCCAUCUGGCCUAAUACUGACGCUGAGGUACGAAAGCAUGGGGAGCAAACAGGAUUAGAUACCCUGGUAGUCCAUGCCGUAAACGAUGUCUACUAGCCGUUGGGGCCUUUGAGGCUUUAGUGGCGCAGCUAACGCGAUAAGUAGACCGCCUGGGGAGUACGGUCGCAAGACUAAAACUCAAAUGAAUUGACGGGGGCCCGCACAAGCGGUGGAGCAUGUGGUUUAAUUCGAUGCAACGCGAAGAACCUUACCUGGCCUUGACAUAGUAGAAACUUUCCAGAGAUGGAUUGGUGC